GCCAAAUGGAGCAACGCACGCCACUGGCUGCUCGUGAGAUUAUCCGCCAUGGCCAAUGGAUUCUGCUCCUCCCGUGUCGCUUUCUUCUCUCUCAUGCAAUCAAUAGUUGUUGCCGCUUCUCUGCUUCUCCGCUCUGGUUUCACCGCCUUUUCAACUACCAUCUGCGGCGGCACAACUGCCCCGCCCGCCUUGGUGCGUCACGCCCAUCCGGAAUCUGCUUUAAAGGCGUCCGAUUCAGCAAUCGAGAGUUUGUCGAUUCGCCAUUUUCUUUGCUGGUAAAUGCGUGGAUCCGACGAAAGGAUGUGUUUGUGUGGUUGAUUCGUCCAUAUUGAUAGCGUUGCUGUUUCUGAUUCGGAUUGCAUCGCUUUUCCAGCAACAAGCUUCGUCCGCACGGCUGUUUCGCUUUGGUGCGGCAUGCCCUUCGCAUGUCCAAGGUGGAUUGCUAUGAUACAACAGCUUACUUACAUGAUUUUGGAUGCAUGAAAUUGUGAGCCAGCGCAACAUUUACAGCGUACAUUUUAGGUUGGUCGAUGUCUGCAAUAGCUGUUACUGGACUAAGCACAGGGAAGAGGUUUCUGAUAUCUUCAUUCUGCCCGACUGAGUUUGCUGGAAAGUUUUAUCCAAUUGCAGACUACAGUUCCCUGCCAUUUACCGCUUCCUGCACAAGGUGCACCAUAGUAGCACAGGAUUCAUCGCACUUUGAGCGUAAUGUACCACCAAACAGAAACCAACAUGUUAUCAAGGCACUUAAAAAACGUGCCAGUACUUUGGCACCUUCAACUAGUAAUUCAUGGUAUGAAAGGCCUGAUUUUGAAUCAUCUCUGGAGGUCGUCAUAUUGCUACAGAAGUCUAAGUUGGAGAAGCAGUGGGAACUGGAACUGGCUACUGUUUCUGCUCCUGAGAAAAGCCAGCAGAUGCCUUUGAUUGUUCGUUCAGGGAUAUCCGCUCGUGAGAGGAGAACAUUUUCCAGGAGAAAAUAUAUUGGGUAUAAUGCUUCCGAGGUUCCUGCAAGAAGAGUUAAACAACCUCAUCUGAGUGUUAGUUCUGAGUUACUUAAAUCUAACAGGAGUGGUUAUGUGAGGGGUACAAUUAGCGAGACCUUCCUGACACAUGCAGAGGUGGUUAGUUUGUCGACAAAAAUAGAAGCUGGUAUUCAGAUGGAAGAGCACAGGUUAAAAUUGAAGGAAAAAUUGAGAUCUGAACCAUCCGACAAACAGCUGGCUUCUUCAUUGAGGAUGUCAUGUGCUGAAUUGCACAGAAAAAUGAUUGAGUGUUCUUUGGCAACUGAAAAGCUUGCAAUGAGCAAUCUUCGACUAGUAAUGUCUGUUGCACAAAAGUAUGAUAACCUGGGUGUUGAUAUGGCCGACCUUAUUCAGGGUGGCUUGAUUGGACUACUUCGUGGAAUACAAAAGUUCGAUUCUUCCAAGGGCUUCAGAAUUUCUACUUAUGUAUAUUGGUGGAUACGGCAGGGUGUCUCACGAGCAUUGAUUAAGAACUCUAGGACAUUAAGACUACCUGCUCAUUUGCAUGAAAGACUAAUUUCCAUUAGGCAGGCCAAGGUUAAACUGGAGGACCAAGGAAUUACACCAUCAAUUAUGAAACUUGCAGAGUCCCUGAAUAUGUCACAGAAAAAAGUGAGAAAUGCCACACAGGCUGAGAUUAAAGUACUUUCUCUAGAUAGGGAAGCCUUCCCAUACUCGAAUGGCCUUCCUGGUGAGACCCUCCACGAUUAUAUUGCAGAUAGUAAAGUCGAAAAUACUCCCUGGCAUGUUUUUGAGGAAUGGUCACUCAAGGAUGAAGUCACCCAGCUUUUGUACACCAUACUCAGCAAGAGGGACAGAAAUAUCAUCAAACUAUAUCAUGGUAUCGAUAACAACUGCCAUACAUGGGAGGAUAUUGGCAAACAGUUAGGUUUGUCGAGAGAACGAGUAAGGAAGUUAGGGCUUGAAGCCAUGGAGAAACUGAAGCAUGCAGCAAGGAGUAGAAGAUUGGGGUCAUUGUUCAUCAAACAAUGAGGCCACGGAAUCGUUUCAACACUUCACACUAGCUUUCGUUGUGUGUGAAAGAAAGGGAGGAAUUUUAUUCUUCAGCAGAGAUUACUCAUAAAAGGAACACACCAGGUAUGCCCUCAACCUUCAUUGAUUUGGUGGAUGAGUUUGAACACGUGAACAUCGAGUUGCAAAUAUCAACCACAAAGCUGCCAUUAUUGCUCUGUACACUGAUGCCAUGGUUUAUCUGUUUCCCUCCACCAUUAUCCUGCAGUCCAUGACUCUAGCCAGAAAAAGGUUAGCAGGAAAGAAAGAGAGGAUGGUU